UUAACUCAAAUUUUUAUGGGGCUGGAACGUUUGCCUAGGUUGCGCGCUAGGGGCGCUGUUCCAAGUGCAUACAAAUAUGAGUUA
rnacentral:pre_miRNA from 1 species